AAUGAACUUUUUGUUCAUUAACAACAACAACAACGACAAAACAACAAUAUUAAUAAAUGAAUCAAUAAUUAAAAAAGUGCAUUGCCCUGAUUUUUAGUCCUUCGCUGCUCCAGGAAGCACACACUCCUGCUUGGAAACCAAUCAGAAGUUUAAACAAUUUUUAGCGUCAUCAUCAUCAAGUUCACCUCGUGUAUCAUCAAUUAAGUCUUUGUUGUCAAUCAUCAGAAUACACAAGUAAGUUAUUAACAAAAAAACAAAAAAAGUAUCAGUUCUUGCUAACUCAAAUGAUUGUAAAUGCAAGUAAUCAAACUUUAUUCUCUUAAGUGAGCGUGCACAUGUAGACCCAACGCUUUACAGCUGUCAGGCGGUUAAUGUCAGUUUUAUAAUCAUUUCUCAUUAAAUGUUUUAGGCUAACAUUUCUUGUGAGGGUCAACUGUGCACAACAAUUACUUUUUUUUGAUGCAUCAUAUGUUUUGUGGUUAUGUUAUGAUGAGAUCACACUACUGUAUGUCCAUGCCAGACAUUACGUGUAGAUCACAGAUGUGAGGAUUAAUCAAAUCAUUGUAAACCUGACUUAACACAACUUGUUUUUUGUUUUUUUUGUAAUUUUUUCCCCCCAUUUUACAUUUGUUCAAGCAGAAUGUGCUUAGAAGCAGCACUUGUUCUUGGAGAUGUGUUUCUUGAUCAGAUACAGGUAACUUUAGAAACUGUAUCUUGAAUGAUUUAUUUUGACUUCUUUUUCUCUGUCAAAUAAUUCAAAGAAAACUACAGAUUAAUAGUUAUAUUGGCUAAUAUAUUAUUCAUGAAAUGCAAGUAUUAACUACUUUUAAAAACCUUUUAAAUAUACUAUUUGCAAUUUAGAAAGAAGAAAAAUAUCAAGUCAAGAGGUCGAAGCCACAUCCUGCGACUGUGAAGUGGAGGAGAAAGGACAUAAAUGGGAAUGUUGUAAGAAAAACUUCAAUAAAACCAAAACAGUAAAGAAAGGCUCCUAACUACGGCGAGACAGUUGUAAAUUUACAGUUAUUGUUUAAAUUUACUGUUAAUUUCAGUUGUGGUUUAUAUUUUCUCCAUAUUUGAUAAAUGUUUAGAUGUGAGCAGUCUGUUUUAAUCUUUAAGUGCACACAUUUACAUACAGAACCAGAUAUAUAGAGCCCCAAAGCAUAAUGUAUUUACAUUUUAUUUUAUUUAAAGCUGCUGGAAGACCAAGUAUGUAAUAACCCUGAACUUAUUGUCAGAUUGUUUAUUUCAGUCCAGCUACCAUUAUUGAAAUAUUAAUAAUUAUUUGAAUGUAAUGUCUUGUAGGCCAUUCUUCUGCUCAGAUGUUGUCUGCAAGUACUGGCCACACUUAAAGAGAGCGGUGGACACUGUCCAGAGCUAAGGCCUUUAUUAAAUAUGCGCCCACUAUUAUCAGUUAUGCGUGCCAAAACACAUGAGUAGAGUUCUUACAUUACAAGAAAUUAUUUUAAUGAUAUUUUUAUGGCAUGGACGUGCACUUUUAUUUCAACAGCCAUUGUUUGUUUUGUUUUUGUCUUGGUUUUUUGUAGAUAAAAUGGUUUAAUAAAAGGUCUUCCGGGUGUGGAACGACACAAGGGUAACUAAGAAGAUGGUCUUUGAGCGGUUCAUGUUUCUUUCCCGACUGAAGGAGGACGAGCAGAUCCUAGUGAUGGAGGUCAAGCAACACUGACAAUCAUUGAAGGAAGCUGAAUGUUCCCUGAGGGAUCUCUCAAUUCAAAUACAAAAUAACAACACUGACUUCGAGCGAUCGGAGGAGAGCUCCAAUGGACUCCUGUGCCUUCUCAAGAGAAAACUGGAAGACCUUCAGUUUCUGCAAAAUAAUGCUUGGAUGUUAUACAGACAAUGUGUUCUGGGACAGGCAUCAGAAAGCAUUCAAUCUGAUAACAUUUCAGAUGAAGAAAACUACAGCUCUGAUGAAACCUGACCAUGUAGAGUAGACAGAUACUGGAUAACUAUUUUAAUAAGCUGUAAAAAAAUAAAAAAAUAAAAAAAUGUUUACUGUGAGAAACAUUUUAGCACAUUAACAUAGAGUCUAUUUAAUAUUUUCUAAUCCUAAUGGAAAUUAAAUGAAGGUUCAGCAGUACAAGUUUUGACUAUUAUUUUUGAAGAUUUGAGUGUGUUUGUGUAAGACAGGUGUUUCACAUUUUUAUAGUGCAGUUAUUAUAAGCAGCCAUACACCCGCCAUCCCUAUUCAUUAUUUUCUAUUAUUUCCAUUUCCCUUCGCUCUCAUGGGAGCAUGCAGUGUAUAUCUGUGGGGUGUUUUGCAGUGUGUACAUAUCUUAGAUUGAUAGAAAGUAAAGAAGAAUACAGUAUAUAAA